GAUGAACGCUAGCGGCAGGCCUAAUACAUGCAAGUCGAACGGUAGAUUUGGUAGCAAUACUGAAUUGAGAGUGACGUAAGGGUGCGUAACACGUAUGCAAUCUGCCCUCAACAGGAGUAUAGCUCGGGGAAACUCGGAUUAACCCUCCAUAAGAUCUUAGGGUGGCAUCACCUAGAGAUUAAAACUUCGGUGGUUGAGGAUGAGCAUGCGCAUGAUUAGUUAGUUGGAGGUGUAACGGACCCCCAAGACGAUGAUCAUUAGGGGAACUGAGAGGUUGAUCCCCCACACUGGCACUGAGAUACGGGCCAGACUCCUACGGGAGGCAGCAGUAGGGAAUAUUGGUCAAUGGGUGAGAGCCUGAACCAGCCAUGCCGCGUGCAGGAAGACGGCCUUCUGGGUUGUAAACUGCUUUUAUCUGGGGAUAAAAAGACCGUGCGCGGUUAAUUGAAGGUACCAGAUGAAUAAGCACCGGCUAACUACGUGCCAGCAGCCG
rnacentral:rRNA from 1 species